UCUCCCUCGCGCACCCGAGCCGCACCCUUCCUCGCCCGACGCCUUCUCCUCCGAGCCCUAACCGCCGGAGCCCUAACCGCCGGCCAUGACGGUUUUCCUCCCUCCCUCGUGCUUAAGCCGUGACCAAGGGGAGAAGCCGACGCCGACUCCGUGCCCUAAUCACUGCCGCUGACGCCUUCCUCCUCUCCUCUGCCGCCACUCCGACCCGGAGCCGAGUCCUAGCCGCGUCGCCGCCACUCCGACCCGACGCCGAGCCCUAGGUGCCGACGCCCUCUCCGAUCUCCUCUCAUCAGAGCCGAGUUCUCCUCACAGCGAACCGUGCCCUAGCCGAGCUUCCUCCUGCCGAGGCUGCGCCCUAGCUUCUCCGCCAUCCGCCGCCGUCGAACGAAGAGCGCCGACCACCCUUCCUCUGCCCUAGACUCACUCAGCGCCGCCUUCCCUCGUGCCCUAGUUUGGUUUUCACUGUCGUGCCCUAACUCCAGCCGUUGUAGCCACCAACUUCUGAUUCUUGCUGUCAUCAUCGAAGAAGAGGGCAGUAGGUUGUUACUUCUGGCCAGUAGGUUUGAUUUGGGGCUGUUGGAAUUUGCCGUGGAAAUAUUGCUUCAGUUGAGGACAUAAAGGAAGAGUGCAAGUGGAUUUCCAGCCACUCACCUUGUUCCAGCAGCAAACACACUCCUUGAUUGUGGAUCAAUCACGACUGUGAAUUGAGGGCUUUGACACGAGACGAGUAUCUCGAAGUCGUAUUUGGACCAGAU